rnacentral:rRNA from 1 species
AAACUCAUUAUACAACUCUGUUCUCCACACCCCCUAAUUCAAGAGAUAUGUAUGUUAGUUUUGGGUUGGGGGGACCUCGGAGUAUAACUUAACCUCCAAAACAAAUAGGUUAACACCUUUAUCCAUGAGAAACACCUCUAAGAAUUACUAAACUAAUGCUUUUGAUCCGAUAAUCGAUCAAUGAACCAAGUUACCCUGGGGAUAACAGCGCAAUCUACUUCAAGAGUUCAUAUCGACAAGUGGGUUUACGACCUCGAUGUUGGAUCAGGGUAUCCUAGUGGUGCAACCGCUACUAAU